GAUGAACGCUGGCGGCGUGCCUAAUACAUGCCAGUCGAGCGAACGGACGAGAAGCUUGCUCCUCUGACGUUAGCGGCGGACGGGUGAGUAACACGUGGAUAACCUACCUAUAAGACUGGGAUAACUUCGGGAAACCGGAGCUAAUACCGGAUAAUAUUUUGAACCGCAUGGUUCAAUAGUGAAAGACGGUUUUGCUGUCACUUAUAGAUGGAUCCGCGCUGCAUUAGCUAGUUGGUAAGGUAACGGCUUACCAAGGCAACGAUGCAUAGCAGACCUGAGAGGGUGAUCGGCCACACUGGAACUGAGACACGGUCCAGACUCCUACGGGAGGCAGCAGUAGGGAAUCUUCCGCAAUGGGCGAAAGCCUGACGGAGCAACGCCGCGUGAGUGAUGAAGGUCUUCGGAUCGUAAAACUCUGUUAUUAGGGAAGAACAUAUGUGUAAGUAACUAUGCACAUCUUGACGGUACCUAAUCAGAAAGCCACGGCUAACUACGUG
rnacentral:rRNA from 1 species